rnacentral:misc_RNA from 1 species
GUGACGGUAGACAUCAUGCAUUACAAUGUCAGUUGGCACCAGCGAAAAUGCAUAUGACAAACCAAACAUGCAAUGCAUAAUUGUAAAGAUGUAAGCUGGAGAAUAAAGAAGUAUAUUUCCAACAUAUUAAUGAUAAAAAUUUACUAGAAUAAUAAGGGGGGCAAUAAUUAGCCCUGCAAAACUGACUAACCAAAUGAGUUAAUCAUUUGUUUUAGGCCUAAGUUUUUCCCACAUGUUAUUGAGAUGGUGCAAUACGUCUGUAUACCGCUUGAAAUGUUUGUCCCCCAUUCCUAGCAACCUUUUGUCCUUCUUCAGUUGCUGUACUCAAGAGCUUUAUGACAGGAUCUGC